rnacentral:rRNA from 1 species
AUGAGCUACAUGAUCCUAUACAACUUUUACAGAAAUGCUACUUUUGUCUUUGUGCUUUUCUGGUAUGUACUUUACACUGGUUAUACCCUGUCAACAGCAAUAAAUGAGUGGAGCAGUGUGUUAUACUCUGUGGUCGUUACCUCUGCGCCGACUGUCAUUGUCGCCAUUCUCGACAAGGAUCUGAGCCGAAGGACAUUGCUGAAAUACCCCCAACUCUACGGUGCGGGGCAGCGCGAGGAGAGUUACAACCUAAGACUAUUCAUUUUCAUCAUGGUGGACUCUGUUUGGCAGAGCGUCGCAGUUUUCUUCAUCCCUUACCUCGCAUACAAAAACAGCGCAAUCGACAGCGCCAGCCUCGGAGACCUGUGGACACUGUGUGUUGUCAUUCUUGUCAACAUUCACCUUGCCAUGGAUGUCAUCAGAUGGACUUGGAUCACUCAUGCAGCAAUAUGGGGCAGUAUUGUGGCGACAUGGAUUUGCGUCAUCAUCAUAGACUCCAUACCCACCUUGCCCGGUUUCUGGGCAAUCUAUGAGGUGAUGGGAACUGCAUUGUUCUGGGCAUUGCUUCUUGCGGUGAUUGUGGUUGGAAUGAUCCCUCAUUUUGCUGCAAAGGCCAUCAGGGAACAUUUCAUGCCCAAUGACAUCCAGAUUGCGAGAGAGAUGGAGAAGUCGCGAGAUUCUCGUGAUGCUAAUCAUCCAGAAGUCCAGAUGAGUACAUCCACUCGAGCUUAG